rfam:Triticum urartu cultivar G1812 contig1104149, whole genome shotgun sequence.
UUACUACUCCCUCCGUCCGGAAAUACUCGUGGAAGAAAUGGAUAUAUCUAGAUGUAUUUUAAUUUUAGAUACAUUUAUUUUUAUGCAUUUCUUCGACAAGUAUUUUCGGACAAAGGGAGUACUUC